rnacentral:lncRNA from 1 species
GAAAUAUGUAUUUAAAAAAGGAAAUAAAAAUAAUUACAAUAAAUAAUUUCAUUAUAUAUUAAAUUUACAAUUUCAAAUCUAAUUAGAGUUUUAAAACCAAAUCAAAUUACAAACUAAAAUAAAGGCAAAAAUAAAUUACAAUAAAAUUUAAAUCAGAUCAAGCCAGCCUUGCUAUGUUGACUUUGUUCACUGCCAAACUCUGCCAUGUUGAUGAUGACUGUCAUUGAUGCACAAGCCAUGCUUAUGGGUACAUCUGUUCCUGUUUUAACUGAAUUGAGAAACAUAAAAACAUAAUUUUUUAAAUCAGUCUUGGUACACAUUGUGCAGAACAAAGAGACAACCUUUAGAGUUUAAAAAAAAGAAACUAAAAGACAAAUUAAAGCUCAGCAAUAGAACAGAUCAAAGCAAGUAAAUCAAAAUCAUGAAUGCAUCAGAGGUGUAGAAAAAACGCAGAUGAUGAGCAAAGGAAAAAAACAUCAAACAGGAAAUAGAUAGAACAGAGACACAGCCAAGAAAACAACUAAUCAGAUAAAAAAACUCUAUAAAUACAUCUGUUUUUUUUUAC